rnacentral:rRNA from 1 species
GUGGAUUAGAUACCCUAGUAGUCCUAGCCUUAAACGAUGCAUACUAGAUGUUGGAGGGCUCAACCCUUCCAGUAUCGGAGCUAACGCGUUAAGUAUGCCGCCUGGGGAGUACGCUCGCAAGGGUGAAACUCAAAAGAAUUGACGGGGGCCCGCACAAGCAGUGGAGCAUGUGGUUUAAUUCGAUGCAACACGAAGAACCUUACCUGGGCUCGAAAUGUAGAGGACGAUAUCAGAGAUGAUAUUUCCCGAAAGGGUCUCUAUAUAGGUGCUGCAUGGCUGUCGACAGCU